UGUACAUGGUGGUGGAGCUUUAAACUUCUACGUCUCUCUCUCUCUCCCUUCCAGCUUAUCUUCUUCUAAUGAUCAUCGUGUUCAUGGUAUUUGUUUCUUCCAGCCAAAAAGGUUUUCCAAUAUUUCAGUGAUUGUUUGAUGAAAGAAGAAUGCAUACAUGCCAUGCCAAGGGCAUUGAAAGUGGAUGGUGGAAAUGAAUGCAUGGGAUGAUAGAUAAUGAUCAUGUUGACAGAAGAGAGAGAGCACAACCCACCAUUGGCUAAAGAGAGUCUUUGUCUUUGCUGGGAGUGUGCUUUCUCUUCUUCUGUCAACAACGUUACACGACAGUACUGUAAUUAAUUAUGUCUGUCGUGAGAUCACCAGCACCGUGUGGAUCCUGUUUGUCCUUACAGUAUGAUAAUCAAUUUGGAGAGAUCAUUUUCCCAUGUAGCUUGUGAUAAGGGUCUUCUUAUCAGGCUUGUGAUAGAUUCCGAGCCAUGCAAUUAUUUGAAGUCCCAACAACUUGUUGUGGCCAUACAUAACUGUGGUGAAAUGCAACGUGCCAGUGAACAAAGAUCCCAGGUGGCUGUACAAUUCCAAAA